rnacentral:rRNA from 1 species
GUGGGGAAUAUUGGGCAAUGGGGGAAACCCUGACCCAGCAACGCCGCGUGAAGGAAGAAGGCUUUCGGGUUGUAAACUUCUUUGACGAGGGAAGAAAGAAAUGACGGUACCUCGAAAACAAGCCACGGCUAACUACGUGCCAGCAGCCGCGGUAAUACGGAGGAUCCGAGCGUUAUCCGGAUUUAUUGGGUUUAAAGGGUGCGUAGGUGGUUUGAUAAGUCAGCGGUGAAAGUUUGCAGCUUAACUGUAAAAAUGCCGUUGAAACUGUCGGACUUGAGUGUAAAUGAGGGAGGCGGAAUGCGUGGUGUAGCGGUGAAAUGCAUAGAUAUCACGCAGAACUCCGAUUGCGAAGGCAGCUUACUAAGCUACAACUGACACUGAAGCACGAAAGCGUGGGGAUCAAACAGGAUUAGAUACCCUGGUAGUCC